UUACUACUCCCUCCGUCCGGAAAUACUUGUCAUUGAAAUGGAUGUAUAUAGAUGUAUUUUAAUUCUAGAUACAUCCAUUUUCAUCCAUUUUGAUGACAAGUAAUUCCGGACGGAGGGAGUAGUAC
rnacentral:pre_miRNA from 1 species